rnacentral:tRNA from 1 species
GCGCCCGCGCUCAGCUGGAUAGACUGUCUGCCUCCGGAGCAGAAGGUCUCAGGUUCGAAUCCUGUCGGGCGUA